AUUCCUUCUCAGCCUUUUGGCUGAGAUCAGGUGAAGUAUCUGUUCUUAUCAGGUUAAUAUCUGAUUAGUCAUCUAUCUGAGUACCCUCAGGGUUGGGGAGGGAGAGGCAAAAAUAAAU
rfam:Myotis davidii contig38070, whole genome shotgun sequence.